GGAUCAAGUUGUUGCGCAAAGGCUCCUGGCAUCUCGGACACUCAAGGACGCUCAAAGGACCGCCCAGACAAGUGCACUGCUUCUGGUGCUGAUAUAUUUCACCGGUCUGUUCCUUGGAGUAGCCCUGACGGCUUGGUUUCGGGGCUGUGACCCAACGCAACUGGGAGAAAUAACCAACAUAGACCAAAUUGUGCCAUAUUACAUAAACACAUACCUGAUGGAUUUUCCUGGAUUGUCUGGAUUGUUUCUUGCUGGCAUCGUGUGCGCUGCAACAAGUACAGUGUCCUCGACAGUGAACUCCCAAGCUGCUAUUCUGUAUGUUGACGUCAUUGCACGUCGAUACAAAAACGCUGAGAACCACGUGCUCUGGAUUACACGUGGCACAGCUUUAGGUUUCGGUAUUUUAAUGACUAUCUACAGCAUGCUCUGCGGACGUAUGGGC
rnacentral:lncRNA from 1 species